GGAGAAUUAAUAAAAAGACGUUUUGCUAGAGAUUUUGAAGAAAAUCCAAAUCCAAGAAAGCCCAAUCCAGAGAUUUCACGGUCUUUUAAUGGCAGAAAGAGCCAAAAAAAUGAAGAAAACAGAAUUUUUCUUUUUCCAGAGAAAACAGCAGUCUUUCGAAGAUCUGUUGAAAACCAAGAAACAGAGAGAAACCCAAUUCCUUUCAAGAGCUGAGGAAGAUAUUUCAACAGUCGAAAACGUGAGGAAGG